AGUCGAGCGGGGAAGGUAGCUUGCUACUGGACCUAGCGGCGGACGGGUGAGUAAUGCUUAGGAAUCUGCCUAUUACUGGGGGACAACAUUCCGAAGGAAUGCUAAUACCGCAUACGCCCUACGGGGGAAAGCAGGGGAUCUUCGGACCUUGCGCUAAUAGAUGAGCCUAAGUCGGAUUAGCUAGUUGGUGGGGUAAAGGCCUACCAAGGCGACGAUCUGUAGCGGGUCUGAGAGGAUGAUCCGCCACACUGGGACUGAGACACGGCCCAGACUCCUACGGGAGGCAGCAGUGGGGAAUAUUGGACAAUGGGCGGAAGCCUGAUCCAGCCAUGCCGCGUGUGUGAAGAAGGCCUUUUGGUUGUAAAGCACUUUAAGCGAGGAGGAGGCUUCUUUAGUUAAUACCUAAAGUGAGUGGACGUUACUCGCAGAAUAAGCACCGGCUAACUCUGUGCCAGCAGCCGCGGUAAUACAGAGGGUGCGAGCGUUAAUCGGAUUUACUGGGCGUAAAGCGUGCGUAGGCGGCUUUUUAAGUCGGAUGUGAAAUCCCUGAGCUUAACUUAGGAAUUGCAUUCGAUACUGGAAAGCUAGAGUAUGGGAGAGGAUGGUAGAAUUCCAGGUGUAGCGGUGAAAUGCGUAGAGAUCUGGAGGAAUACCGAUGGCGAAGGCAGCCAUCUGGCCUAAUACUGACGCUGAGGUACGAAAGCAUGGGAGUAAACAGGAUUAGAUACCCUGGUAGUUCAUGCCGUAAACGAUGUCUACUAGCCGUUGGGGUCUUUGAGGCUUUAGUGGCGCAGCUAACGCGAUAGUAGACCGCCUGGGGAGUACGGUCGCAGACUAAACUCAAAUGAUUUGACGGGGG
rnacentral:rRNA from 1 species